ACAGCUCCGGUUGCGGAGAGGCCCGAGUGGGUACCCAGCGCUCCGGCUCCCAGUCUCCUGGGCUUCUCCAGCCCUUCAGCGCCGUUCUCUGGUCACAGGGAAUGAAAGCGAGAAGAAGGAAACUGUGUCGAGAAUUGCGAAGAGAGAAAGCAUAGAAAACCCACAUUAGAGGCACACCCAGAGCAGCAACCCUUCGGAGCAUCCCGACUUCCUCGGCCCGCGUGCAAUCCAGGCAAAAUUGAGAUUGUCUCUGAGCCGCCCUCCCUAAGCAGGUCGGAAAGCCCCGAAUCAUCCCAGAUCCCGCCGCGCUCCACUCGUGACCUGGGGCGGAGGUCCCUCUAGUGGUUGGCACCAAACAAAAGUUCUGUCUUAUGAAGAGCUGAGGUCAGGAAGCAUUUCCCUGUGCCCAGCACCAAGGUCUGGGACCUUAGGUCCAAGAAAAGCGUUGGCAAUGUCUGACCACAGGAAUGGGUUCUCGAACUGGGGAGGACUGAACCCCUACCUCCAGCGUGUGGCCUGAACCGGUUUUGGUUGUGCUGCUAUGUUGUGGCCCUGCCCAGGCCUCCAAGGACUGGCUGCUGUUAAGCUGUUUAAAAUCCCUGUAGGCCUCAGAUGGCAGCGACACCAGGGACUCGGCAUAGUCCCCACCUCUGGCAGGAGUCACCACAGCCCUGGCCUUUAGUUCUCCACAGGCUGGAGUGUCGACAAACUCCAUAGGACACAACUUUUUCAAACCAAAUUUACCCUCGCGGUCUGAAAUGACCAGUAGGCCCAGGAGACUUUUACAUGUGAACAGAACCUAACCCACCCUGGCAAAUAUGAGACGUGUGGUCACUGCGGGAACCUGGCCAGCAGCAGACCAAGCACAGCCAGCAGGGGAAGGCUGGGGCCCGCAAGAGUUGUGUUACAACAGGACACCCUGCAGUUCUCUUUCACUUCCUUAAAAUAGCAGCAGAGAGGCUUUUGUAGACCCAGGCUGCCACAGUUCACACAAGUUCAUGGCUGUUUCCAAAUCCCACACUUUAUUGCCCUAGUGGACCCACUCCCCUUACCUCAGCCCCCAGAAACUGCUAGCCUGUUCUUAAAAUGAUACAAUUACCUUUUUAAAUGUUCUAAGUCACCGGCUCUGGAGUUUCUUUGCACUUUGGAACCAACUUGCGGGAAGGAACUUUAAAAAUACUGAUGUCUCCAUCCAUCCCCAGAGGUUCUGAUUUAAUGGUCUUGGGGGUAUGGCCACGGCAUGAGGACUCUUAAAACUCUGCAGGUGAUUCUUAUGUGCAACAAAGUUUAAGAACCACUGAUGUAGGCCAUGUCGAUGUCAGUCUUCACUUAAAUCCAACAAGACCCCAGAGCUAAAACGUUCACCUGAAAGAAACUCCAUUCCCAGGCCUGCAUACUGACCUGCCCUGGCUCACAAGAAGCAAAGUGGUCCCUUAACAGGGGCUUCCUGGAGAAAAUGUCUUGACCUAAAAGAGUGAUUCGAGCUGCAGGGAUUUAAGAGAGACAGGGCCUUGCUCUAUCACCCAGGCUGAAAUGCAACGUUGCAAUCAUGGCUUGCUGUAGCCUCAAGCUCCUGGACUCAGGGCUCAGUGUGGUCAAAAGAAGACUAUAGAAUCAAGGAUGAAGAGAAGGAACACAAAAUAAAAGGACGUCUCAGCAGGAAGCUCUGUGACUACUAUACAGUUCUUACAAUACAGCAAAUGAUGCCAUACAAUGAAGCACCUUGAAAGAUUGCUGGGAUAAGCUGACAGCAUGGCAGCCAAAAUAGUGACUCCAGGCUUGCAGGAAUUUUGUGCUUUCUGGAGAAAAUGGUCAUGGGUUUCCCAACCUGCCUUUUAAACUAAGGACCAAGCUGAAGAAGCCCCUGUUUUCCAGGGCAUGUUAUUCCCAUGACAGAUGCUAAAAGUUCAAAGGGAGAGCUACAAGAAGUACAUUUUCCUGUGGAUACUUUCAUAUCUGGAUGCAAUGCCUAGACCUGCAUCCAUCUUGCGACCAACCUGAAGAUGAAUCGAAAGGAAGGAAGGAUGGCCCAAUACCCUGGGAAGAACUGGUGUUCCUGAUCCCAUCAUUAACCACAGAAUCUACAAUCCCUGAACCCCCCAUCCUUAACCAUGGAAUCUACAAUCCUAGCUCUAGACCCUUUGUCCAGAAGCUACAGUUUCUUUGUUCAAUCUAGUUUGUGUCAGGAUUUCUGUUCAUUACAUCAAAAGUAUUCUAAUACUUGUAGCAAAGCAACUGGAGAAGUUUUCACUUCGUCUUUAACCAAAGAAGACUUCCAGGAAACAUCUCCUCAGUGGGUUUCUCCCUCACCACUGGAUUUUUGUCUCUGUACUAGUGCUUUGAUUUGUUUUAGGAGUCUCACCUCUCCACCUGUCAUAUUCCCCUGGCAGGCUCAUUUCUGCUAAUUCCCACAAUAUGCUUCUCAAUGAGCUUUCAACCUUAGGUACACAGCUCUUCAGGCAUGUAUAGCACAUUAAUCUGUCUGCUUCUAAGUGGUCUGUUGACAUGUUUGGGUGCCAGUUAUACCUACAAGGCUGUGGUCAUUGUCCUGGCUUAUUCUGUUUGUUCUCUCUGCAAGAUACAUGAGGACACCCAAGGCCAUGGCCAUCACUUACAUCUAAGAUUCAAUCUUAUCUCCUGUGAAUCACUGGAAACCUCCUGUCCUGGAACCCUUUUUUCCCACAUCCCACUGGAUGUCAUUCAUAGCAACUGGUCUUGUGAGUUGUCUGUUUUAUUGUGUUGUCUUACUCUUCCUCCCGGUAUCAGUUUUUAAAUCCUCUUGAUGAGAUCAGCUGAUCAAUCGCUAAGAAACAUAGUCCCCCAUGUCUUUGUAAGAUUCUCUGCACUCAUGGCUAGAAUGAUUUAUUCUCGUAUCUUAAGCUGUGUUUCAGAACCUCAUUCUAAAUAUCAACCUAUUCUUAUAAAUCCACUACUGAUCAUCUUUAGAUAUUCUUCAGUCUUCCAGAGUUCCAAAGGGCAGUAGGAAGAAGCAAUGAAAAUACCACCUGUAUUCUCACAUCUUUGAUUUUUCCACUCAAAAAAUACCACCAUGUUCACUCCUGGCGGAACGUUUAUGUCCAUGAGAAGCAGUGGCUGUGAAGAGUUUUGGCAGACUCUUUAUUGCGCCUUACUCAACACUGGGAAGGUCUCAUCUUCAGCACUUCUAAACUGUGGGAAACUAUGUGAAAACAAAUGGAGUGGCCAAACACACCAUUCAUCACUGUGCUUCUGGACAGCUGCAAGUCCAUACAUGUUCCGAUAAUUCAAUACAAGAAAGAAGAUUUGCUUGGGAAGGUCUGAAUGGCCCUAGCUUUGUUUGUUAACCAUAACCUCUACCAGCUGGAAACACAAUGCCCCACUAAUACUGACAGUGCCUGCUUGUCCAAACAGCAUUCUGGCCACUUACAGCAAUUGACACAAAUUCUAACAGGUCUGUUAAU